GAUGAACGCUAGCUACAGGCUUAACACAUGCAAGUCGCGGGGCAGCAUGGGGGUUGCUUGCAAUCCCCGAUGGCGACCGGCGCACGGGUGAGUAACGCGUAUCCAACCUGCCCUUCACCACGGGAUAACCCGGCGAAAGUCGGACUAAUACCGUAUGUUGUCCAUUGACGGCAUCCGAAUUGGACGAAAGGCUUGGCGGGGAGGGGUGGGGAUGCGUCCGAUUAGCCAGACGGCGGGGUAACGGCCCACCGUGGCUACGAUCGGUAGGGGUUCUGAGAGGAAGGUCCCCCACACUGGAACUGAGACACGGUCCAGACUCCUACGGGAGGCAGCAGUGAGGAAUAUUGGUCAAUGGGCGUAAGCCUGAACCAGCCAAGUAGCGUGCAGGAUGACGGCCCUAUGGGUUGUAAACUGCUUUUAUGCGGGGAUAAAGUGGCCCACGUGUGGGCUUUUGCAGGUACCGCAUGAAUAAGGACCGGCUAAUUCCGUG
rnacentral:rRNA from 1 species